rnacentral:lncRNA from 1 species
CGUUUAUAAAUCUGGAUUUAUUUCUUUAGAAAAUUGUUCAAUUUUCACACAAAGACAACAGUUAUGAAUUACAUGGUAUGGUGAUUUUGCAGAACACUGACACCAAACUGAAGGCAUACUGGCAAUUUGUUGGAAGUUUCACUUUUUUUUUUUUUUUAAUCUUCAGAGUCACCUUAUAGCUCAGUUCAACGUGAAUGGAUCUUAGAUAAUGUAGUAAGAGACAUUUAAGGUCUUCAGAAUCUAUAUCUACACACAACUACUUCCCUCAAAAAGUAUGUGCUUAAAGUACUGUGCAGAGUUCAAUGAAUUUUCCUGGAUUUUAUUUUUUUAUUAGACCUUUGUUCUGUUUGGAGAUGGUAAAUCUUUCAUUCUUAGACUGCAUUUGUUACUACAUACUGUGUAGUCCAUGGCUAAAAAUAAUCAAGAUGCAGUCUUGCUUUGUAAAAAUUCAAUCAUUUUUAAAUAUGCUUAUUUCUGUUCUGUUUCACUGACAAAGAACUUGAGACAGAUCUUUCAAUGUUCACUCUCUCUCCUCUAGAAGUUUAAUCCAGACGCCACCUCAUCACGUAGUUCUUUCUUGUAAAG